UGGGCAGUUGGAAGGGGGGCCGUUACACUGUAAGAGAGUGAGUAGCAGGUCUCACAGUGAACCGGUCUCUUUUCCUACUGUGUC
rnacentral:pre_miRNA from 13 species